rnacentral:rRNA from 1 species
UGGCGACCGGCGCACGGGUGAGUAACACGUAUCCAACCUGCCGAUGACUCGGGGAUAGCCUUUCGAAAGAAAGAUUAAUACCCGAUGGCAUAGUUCUUCCGCAUGGUAGAACUAUUAAAGAAUUUCGGUCAUCGAUGGGGAUGCGUUCCAUUAGGUUGUUGGCGGGGUAACGGCCCACCAAGCCCUCGAUGGAUAGGGGUUCUGAGAGGAAGGUCCCCCACAUUGGAACUGAGACACGGUCCAA